rnacentral:rRNA from 1 species
UACGAAGGGGGCUAGCGUUGCUCGGAAUUACUGGGCGUAAAGCGCACGUAGGCGGUCUUUUAAGUCGGGGGUGAAAUCCUGGAGCUCAACUCCAGAACUGCCUUCGAUACUGGAAGACUUGAGUCCGGGAGAGGUGAGUGGAACUGCGAGUGUAGAGGUGAAAUUCGUAGAUAUCUGGAGGAACACCGGUGGCGAAGGCGGCAUCCUGGACCGGUAUUGACGCUGAGGCGCGAAAGCCAGGGGAGCAAACGGG